AAGAUUGGUCCUGUGGCACCACUGACCAGUUCCUGGUUGACUGCCAAGGAAUGUGUGCUAAUUGCUGGGAUUCUUGCAAAGAAUCCUGGACUCAUCCAGACCCCCGCUGCAAUCCAGCAAAGCUUACCAGACCUUUCCAUGUAUAAGACUAGGUUUUUUUCUUUAAAAAUUAUGCUAAAAAGUUGGGAUCAUCUUAUACAUGGAUAGUGCAUAGGGUGAACGUUUGAUUGGUUGCAGCCGUGGCUGUCAGCAGCUAUUGGGCGUGUUAUUGGUUGCUGCAUCAAUGGCUGGUGUUGAUUGGCUGAUGUUGUGGCAAUUAGGUGGGCGAUUGCCGGUGAGCAGACAGAGACGGAUGUUGCGACGCGUGCAGAAGGUCUCAGUGGUCGAGGUGCAGCACAAUUAAAUCUGUAGCACUUCAUCAUGCUGUCUGAAUUUAAACAAAGGAUGGAGUGUGAGCAAGUGAGGGAUAUGCAUGUACUUUGGUGAUGCUUUGGUUGAGGACUAAGGGCCUGAGCCAAAGAGGGGCUUUGAAGAGCAAUGCGAACGACAGGAGAGAGGAACCUGGGUCCUCCCCCCCAUCCAACAUCAGUUUGUAAGUGAACUAGAAGCAGUUUCCACUGCUCCCAAGUAACCCUUCCCCAUUCAACACGCGUCCAGUCUCACAGUCUUCCUUUUACCUUUAUCCGCUGUGCUGCAUCUAGGGUUCAUGGGAGCUAGGAAGGGGACAAGAUUUUGAAAAAUGUACUGAGCCUGGGAACAAGCAAGGAAACAUGUCCUCUUAAGCAUAUCCAGAGCUUUCGGUCACUGCCCAAGAGUCGCAUGCAAAAUAAAGGCAGGAAUGGGGAACCUCAGGCCCAGAAGCUGAAUGUGGCCCUCCAGACCUCUCUACCUGGCCCUUGGAACUCUCCCAGGGCACACCUCCUCCCCAAGCCACACCCAUAUAUUGCAUUCUCCUUGAAUGUUUUGCCUGCCUGGAAUGUGCCCUUGAACUCUGAUCAUGCCUGGACAAAGAGAGGGGUGCACAGACAUUAUUAGCCUAAUAUUUGUUUUCAUUGCCCCACCCACUUUUGACCCACCCAGGUCCCACCUACCACUGGUCUGUGGUCCCGGCAAGGUUGUGGUGUGGUUCUCAUAAUUCCCCGCCCUUGAGUUAAGGUCUCCUGUGGCUUGAUCAACCUUGAUCCUCAGAACCUCUGCUUAAGCUUUGCAAAACAUCCACUUCUUCCCAGUGAAAUAAAUAAAGAUCUUACGUAUAUAAUAAAGGUUCAUAAAUGUACCAAGCAAACACAUACAUAGACCUAGAGGCCACAUGUCUGAAGCUGCACAGGAGAGCAGCCAUGGAGCCAUUCUGACUCCCAGGCUGACCAGGUGUUUUCUCUGCAAGGUCAAAUGGAGGAGCCUCCCCAUUGUCUUCUCCUUCACAAAUCCUGUCUUAAGGGUAUGUCUGUGUAUGAAUAGGGUGAGCGUGUCACUUGGCUCAGGAACUAAGUACUUAUCAUUACAAAAGACUAGCCAGGCUCCCCAGGGUAUCAGUCCAGUAAACAUUAACAGGUAACUUGCCAGACAGGAGGUAAACAACCAACUCAGAUUUCUGCUGUAGACCACCCUUUCUGUGAUGUAGGUAUGAUGUUUCUGGGGGUGGUCUUUGACUCCAAGGUGGGCAAUUUAAAAUGUCUAUAUAAUGGUGGACACACCUUGGUUCUGGGUCCUCCUCCUGUGUGUGAAGGGUGCACCCUGUUGCAACAGUUCAAUAAAGAUCAGGCUUAUAAGCUGCUUUGCUUCUCAAUA